ensembl:snRNA U6 U6 spliceosomal RNA
GCUCGCUUCGGCAGUACAAGUACUAAAGUCGGAACGAUUCAGAGGUUAGCAUGACCCCUACACAAGAAUGACUCGCAAAUUCAUGAAGCGUUCCAUAUGUGU